rnacentral:rRNA from 1 species
AGAGUGUGGGAGAGGAAGAUGGAAUUAGUUGUGUAGGGGUAAAAUCCGUAGAGAUAACUAGGAAUACCAAAAGCGAAGGCAAUCUUCUGGAACACUACUGACGCUGAGGCGCGAAGGCGUGGGGAGCAAACAGGAUUAGAUACCCUGGUAGUCCACGCAGUAAACGAUGAAUGUUAGUCGUCGGGUAGCUAGUCUAUUCGGUGAUGCAGCUAACGCAUUAAACAUUCCGCCUGGGGAGUACGGUCGCAAGAUUAAAACUCAAAGGAAUAGACGGGGACCCGCACAAGUGGUGGAGCAUGUGGUUUAAUUCGAAGAUACGCGAAGAACCUUACCUAGCCUUGACAUAUAUUAGAACAGACCAGAGAUGGACUGGUGCCUUCGGGAGCUUUUAUACAGGUGCUGCACGGCUGUCGUCAGCUCGUGUCGUGAGAUGUUGGGUUAAGUCCCGCAACGAGCGCAACCCUCGUCACUAGUUACUAACGGUUCGGCCGAGGACUCUAGUGAGACUGCCUUCGCAAGGAGGAGGAAGGUGAGGACGACGUCAAGUCAUCAUGGCCCUUGCGGCUAGGGCAACACACGUGCUACAAUGGCCAGGACAAUGAGACGCGAUACCGCGAGGUGGAGCAAAUCUAUAAACCUGGUCUCAGUUCGGAUUGUAGUCUGCAACUCGACUACAUGAAGCUGGAAUCACUAGUAAUCG